rnacentral:lncRNA from 1 species
AUCCUCUCAUCAUCUUACAAUGUACCUAACUUGCGUAAUUCUCGUUCAAUAUUAUAUAAUCUUUUUCUUUCUUUUCUUUUAAAAUCAUCAAUUUUCUUACACAUAAUAUUUCCAUUCUCCAAAAUACCAAUAAAACUCGCAUCAAAGGCACCUUCAUCUUGCGAGAGUACCUCCUCUUUUGUACCUCCAUAAUCUCGCUUUAUAGUAGUACCUCCCCAAAAUCCUUAAAUCUUUCAACAAUCUUUGGCAAUGGUUUUUCCCUCAACCUAUCUCGAUUCCGUUCAUAGUUAAGAGGUACUGUUAGAAAUUGUACAGCUUUCAUCCCAUCUUUGCUACAUAUCCUUGCAUAAGCAGAACCAUUGUCAAGUACUUUUGUUUCCAUCUAAGUUGCCGUAAUAUAAGGUUGUCCUAAAAUCAAUGGAUAAGACAUUGUAUCUUGAACAAAGAGAUGUUGCUCCGUCGCAACA